AUGGCCCUCUCCAUGGGGCUGCCUGAGCACCCAACACAGCGCCUGGUUCUGCCACCAGCAACCAAGGCAGAAGCUGCAGUGCCUUUUGGAGCCUCAGAAGCCAACCCCGUCUGCUCCGCCGUAUUCUGCUGCUCACAGGGACUGGCCCUGAUUCAACGCAGGAAGGCUGUGCUGACCAAGAGGCUGGGAGCCACAGUACUGCCCUCGAGGGGCCAGGCGCCCGGCCCUUCCUCCCCACGGACAGCGGUCGGGUGGGGAGUCAGGGCUGCGGAAAGGCUUCCUGCACACCCGCCUGUGCGCUGCCUGCUCGGCCUCUCCUCCAGCCUCCACACGGCCCAUGAGCAGAAGGCGCCACGGACCACGAGCAGGGCCGGGGGUGCCACAGCGACCCCGGGAAACAGGGGGCCCAGCCACCUGGUCAGGGGGCCCUCCCACCCCACUGCCCUGGAGCCAAGAGUAAGCAGUUUCCCCAGAGCGACACGAGCUGUUGGGGCGUCCUUUACAGGAAGCGCUGUGCAAGUCACAGACACCAGAUCACCACAGCAGUCAACACCUGGCUCCCGCUCUGCAAGGCGGUGCGGUGCCGGCAGCAUCCUCGAGAGUGUGUGGGGUCCGGGGCCGCUGGGGGUCUCCCAGGAUAGCCAGGGGUGCUGAGUUUUCUACUAGAAGACACAGCAAACCUGUAAACAGACAGUGGUAAACUGCCAGCUACAAAGGCAAAAAUAAAAAUCAUACAUUUUAAAAAUGCUAUAAACACAUCCCACCCAACCAAAAGCUCUGAACCCCCUGCCCACUGCCCUAAGCAGGCCCCAAGUGCUGGAGCCGCGGCAGGGCCGGAUAGCCAGGGGUGCUGAGUUUUCUACUAGAAGACACAGCAAACCUGUAAACAGACAGUGGUAAACUGCCAGCUACAAAGGCAAAAAUAAAAAUCAUACAUUUUAAAAAUGCUAUAAACACAUCCCACCCAACCAAAAGCUCUGAACCCCCUGCCCACUGCCCUAAGCAGGCCCCAAGUGCUGGAGCCGCGGCAGGGCCAGUGGCGGGGCGGG
rnacentral:lncRNA from 1 species